AGCAGCCGCGGUAAUUCCAGCUCCAAUAGCGUAUAUUAAAGUUGUUGCAGUUAAAAAGCUCGUAGUUGAAUUUCGGGAUCAGUACGCUGGUCGUGCCUUCGGUAUGAACUGGUGUCACUGGUUCCUCCCUUCUGAAGAACCGUCAUGCCAUUCAGUUGGUGUGGCGGGGAAUCAGGACUGUUACUUUGAAAAAUUAGAGUGUUUAAAGCAGGCUCGCGCUUGAAUACAUUAGCAUGGAAUAAUGAAAUAGGACGUUUGACCCUAUUUUGUUGGUUUCUAGGAUCGACGUAAUGAUUAAUAGGGAUAGUUGGGGGCAUUAGUAUUCAAUUGUCAGAGGUGAAAUUCUUGGAUUUAUUGAAGACUAACUACUGCGAAAGCAUUUGCCAAGGAUGUUUUCAUUAAUCAAGAACGAAAGUUAGGGGAUCGAAGACGAUCAGAUACCGUCGUAGUCUUAACCAUAAACUAUGCCGACUAGGGAUCGGAUGAUGUUAAUUUUUAAUGUACUCAUUCGGCGCCUUAA
rnacentral:rRNA from 1 species